rnacentral:rRNA from 1 species
UUUGAUCCUGGCUCAGGAUGAACGCUAGCUGCAGGCUUAACACAUGCAAGUCGAGGGGUAGCAGGGUAGCAAUACCGCUGACGACCGGCGCACGGGUGAGUAACACGUAUCCAACCUUCCCAUAACUCGGGGAUAGCCUUUCGAAAGAAAGAUUAAUACCCGAUAGUACUUUUUCAGGGCAUCUUGAGAAAGUUAAAGAUUUAUUGGUUAUGGAUGGGGAUGCGUUCCAUUAGAUAGUUGGUGAGGUAACGGCUCACCAAGUCUUCGAUGGAUAGGGGUUCUGAGAGGAAGGUCCCCCACAUUGGUACUGAGACACGGACCAAACUCCUACGGGAGGCAGCAGUGAGGAAUAUUGGUCAAUGGGCGAGAGCCUGAACCCAGCCAAGUAGCGUGAAGGAUGAAGGUCCUAUGGAUUGUAAACUUCUUUUAUAGUAGAAUAAAGUGAUCCACGUGUGGAUUUUUGUAUGUAUACUAUGAAUAAGGAUCGGCUAACUCCGUGCCAGCAGCCGCGGUAAUACGGAGGAUCCGAGCGUUAUCCGGAUUUAUUGGGUUUAAAGGGUGCGUAGGCGGAAUAAUAAGUCAGUUGUGAAAGUUUGCGGCUCAACCGUAAAAUUGCAGUUGAUACUGUUAUUCUUGAGUGUACAUAAGGUAGGCGGAAUUCGUGGUGUAGCGGUGAAAUGCUUAGAUAUCACGAAGAACUCCAAUUGCGAAGGCAGCUUACCGGGGUACAACUGACGCUGAGGCACGAAAGUGUGGGUAUCAAACAGGAUUAGAUACCCUGGUAGUCCACACAGUAAACGAUGAAUACUCGCUGUUUGCGAUAUACAGCAAGCGGCCAAGCGAAAGCAUUAAGUAUUCCACCUGGGGAGUACGCCGGCAACGGUGAAACUCAAAGGAAUUGACGGGGGCCCGCACAAGCGGAGGAACAUGUGGUUUAAUUCGAUGAUACGCGAGGAACCUUACCCAGGCUUAAAUUGCAGAUGAAUAUAGUAGAAAUAUUAUAGCCUUCGGGCAUCUGUGAAGGUGCUGCAUGGUUGUCGUCAGCUCGUGCCGUGAGGUGUCGGCUUAAGUGCCAUAACGAGCGCAACCCUUAUUGAUAGUUACUAACAGGUUAAGCUGAGGACUCUAUCGAGACUGCCGUCGUAAGAUGUGAGGAAGGUGGAAGG